rnacentral:rRNA from 1 species
UACGAGGGGGGCAAGCGUUGUUCGGAAUUAUUGGGCGUAAAGAGUGUGUAGGCGGUGCUCUAAGUUUGGUGUGAAAUCUCCCGGCUCAACUGGGAGGGUGCGCCGAAAACUGGAGUGCUGGAGCGCGGGAGAGGAAAGCGGAAUUCCUGGUGUAGCGGUGAAAUGCGUAGAUAUCAGGAGGAACACCGGCGGUGUAGACGGCUUUCUGGACCGUAGCUGACGCUGAGACACGAAAGCGUGGGUAGCAAACAGG